rnacentral:rRNA from 1 species
CCUACGGGAGGCAGCAGUGAGGAAUAUUGGUCAAUGGACGCAAGUCUGAACCAGCCAUGCCGCGUGCAGGAAGACGGCUCUUUGAAUUGUAAACUGCUUUUGUCGGGGGGUAAACGCGGAUACGCGUAUCUGUCUGCACGUAUCCUACGAAUAAGGAUCGGCUAACUCCGUGCCAGCAGCCGCGGUAAUACGGAGGAUUCAAGCGUUAUCCGGAUUUAUUGGGUUUAAAGGGUGCGUAGGCGGUCGGAUAAGUUAGGGGUGAAAUCCCGAGGCUCAAAUUCGGACUUGCCGUUGAUACUGUUCGGCUAGAGAGUAGUAGCGGUAGGCGGAAUGUAUGGUGUAGCGGUGAAAUGCAUAGAGAUCACACAGAACACCGAUUGCGAAGGCAGCUUACCAAGCUACGUCUGACGUUGAGGCACGAAAGCGUGGGGAGCAAACAGGAUUAGAUACCCUAGUAGUC